GCCAUGGUAGCUGAAUUGGUAAGAGCGUCGCACGUGUAAUGCAAAAACGUGGGUUCGAAUCCCACCUGUGGCA